rnacentral:misc_RNA from 1 species
GGAAGUAAAAUCGUAACAAGGUUUCCGUAGGUGAACCUGCGGAAGGAUCAUUAAAGAACGCCCCGUUUUUUGAAAUGGGUAAUUCUAAACCGUGUAUACAUACCUUUGUUGCUUUGGCAGGCCGCCCCUCAGGGCGUCGGCUCCGGCUGACUGCGCCUGCCAGAGGACCCAAACUCUUUUGUUUAGUGAUGUCUGAGUACUAUAUAAUAGUUAAAACUUUCAACAACGGAUCUCUUGGUUCUG